rnacentral:rRNA from 1 species
CUAGAGUUUGUUCUUGGAUCAGGAUGAACGCCGGCGGCGUGCCUAAUACAUGCAAGUCGAGCGAAUGAUGAGGAGCUUGAUCCUGUGAUCCAGCGGCGGACGGGUGAGUAACACGUGGGUAAUCUGCCUCUAAGACGGGGAUAACUCCGGGAAACCGGGGCUAAUACCGGAUAAUAAGAGAAGAAGCAUUUAUUCUUUUUGAAAGUCGGUUUCGGCUAACACUUACAGAUGAGCCCGCGGCGCAUUAGCUAGUUGGUGAGGUAACGGCUCACCAAGGCGACGAUGCGUAGCCGACCUGAGAGGGUGAUCGGCCACACUGGGACUGAGACACGGCCCAGACUCCUACGGGAGGCAGCAGUAGGGAAUCUUCGGCAAUGGGCGAAAGCCUGACCGAGCAACGCCGCGUGAGCGAUGAAGGCCUUCGGGUCGUAAAGCUCUGUUGUUAGAGAAGAACAAGUACGAGAGUAACUGCUCGUACCUUGACGGUACCUAACCAGAAAGCCACGGCUAACUACGUGCCAGCAGCCGCGGUAAUACGUAGGUGGCAAGCGUUAUCCGGAAUUAUUGGGCGUAAAGCGCGCGCAGGCGGUCUCUUAAGUCUGAUGUGAAAGCCCACGGCUCAACCGUGGAGGGUCAUUGGAAACUGGGAGACUUGAGUGCAGGAGAGAAAAGUGGAAUUCCACGUGUAGCGGUGAAAUGCGUAGAGAUGUGGAGGAACACCAGUGGCGAAGGCGGCUUUUUGGCCUGUAACUGACGCUGAGGCGCGAAAGCGUGGGGAGCAAACAGGAUUAGAUACCCUGGUAGUCCACGCCGUAAACGAUGAGUGCUAGGUGUUGGGGGGUUCCACCCUCAGUGCUGAAGUUAACACAUUAAGCACUCCGCCUGGGAUCCCCAGG